CCCUUAGAUGUCCUGGGCUGCACGCGCGCUACACUGAUGUGUCCAGUAAGCACCUAACCUCUUCCGAAAGGAACGGGUAACCUUUGCAAAGCACAUCGUGAUGGGGAUAGAUUAUUGCAAUUAUUAGUCUUGAACGAGGAAUUCCUAGUAAGCACAAGUCAUCAGCUUGUGUUGAUUACGUCCCUGCCCUUUGUACACACCGCCCGUCGCUCCUACCUAUUGAAUGUUCCGGUGAGCUCUUCGGACUGCGCGGUCUGCAGUUUCUGCGUUCCGUGCGGAAAGUUGCGCAAACCUUAACAUUUAGAGGAAGGAGAAGUCGUAACA
rnacentral:rRNA from 1 species